UACACAGAUUUUCUCUUUCAUGCAGCCAUUUCCCUCCAUGGCUGGAGCUAAUCUGAGUGGAGGCUGCCAUGACCCUGCCAGGCUCCUGCCCUUGGUGGCAUCUUCCUGCUUGCCCCUGUGCCAGUGCUGGCUGAGCUAAUUCAGGGAAAAAUAACCUUGCAAAUGUGAUUUGUGAUGGGCCAAAUCAGCCCCAUGUGAUGGCUGUUUGCAUGGCCAGAGACAUGGGAAGGGGCUGGGAAGGCAGGUCCUGCCUUGGCAGAGUUAGAGGGGUUUAAAUUGCAGAACUGACUGCAUGGGGUUGAGGAGAAAGGGGAAAAAAUUAAUCCACAAAUCCCUGGAGUUGGCUGGCAUUGAUCCAAGCAGUCCCUGACCAGAGUCCAGCAUCCACUGCCUGUGAGCUGAGGCUGCUUCAGCUGCUGAAUGACAUGCACCUGGCUUGAAGGUCCUCCUUGAACAAGUCCUGGCUGAAUCCAGACCAUUGCAGGCUGUGAUUGGGAUCAGCUCCUCAAGCUGUUCCACACAGGGUUGCUUCUGAGUGACACUCGGAGAAGCUGCAGCUGAACAGUGCCAGGUGGUGUAACAAGAGGAAAUCUCCACACUGGUCUGUGUCCCUCUGCCUUUGCUGGCUGGGAAGAAGUGCCUCUGGCAGGGUCUGCAUUGCUGAAGGCUGUGGCACAGAGCAAGACCUGGAAGUGAAAGCCCCACUCAGCAUCUGGGCUGCCAGCCUUUGCAACACUGCUUCUGCCCUGGGAAUCACUCCUGACCCCUGGCAAGGGAAAAGCCCAAAGGUAUUUGUGAUUCCCUGGAGUUUUUGUAAUGUUUCCUCCUCAGCUGAUGUUACAGUGAAAAAAUUUUGGGGUGAAGUCAGUGUUUCUUCAGCCCCACCCUGCUGCCUUCUCUGCUGGUGUUGUCUCUUCUUUUUUGGGAUGGAUGUGCUGUGAAAUCAGCCUGUACCUCAGAACACCCCUUCUGCCACUGCCAGGGACCAGCACCUCAGCCUGCCCAGGUGUCUGUGCCUUUCCUGCUGGCCCAGGGCUGCUCUGGGGGCUGCAGGUGCCUUCCUCAGCCCUGCUGCACCUGGGCAGAGCCUGGAGGGGCAGUGGGGAUGCAGCAGGAUGUCAGAGCCCAGGACAUCCCUCUGACUGCCCUGGAUGAUUUGAGAUCCUGGCAAGGGGCUCAGAGACCUUGGCAUGGAGUCAAAAACACCUGUGCCUUUGAUUUUAGUCCAUGGAAAAAACUACCAACUGUGUAUGAAGAUGUACAUGCCACAAGAGUUUAAGUAGAAUGAUGGUUAAUUUGUCACAGGGUGAAAAGUAGAAUUUUGGGGUUUUAGAAUGGGGGUUCAGGAGGCAAGAUGGAGGAAUCUGGGUGUGUCCUGUCCUUUCUUCUCCCUCUUCUUGCCCUCCAUCUUCUGCUGUGAUGGUGACACUUUUGGAUUGGUUUAGAGUGGAGACAGACUGUCUAACAUAGGUGAUAGGUAUUGGAAAAUUAUUGUAAAUAAAGUACAGGCAGUUUUUUGUAUAAAAUAUUAACACCACCCCAAGGGUGGGCAGUGUGCCACAACCCAACCUGCUGGACAGACCUCAGCUGGUCAGGGAUAGAAAGUAUUAGACAAGAGAAAAUAAACAACCUUGAAA